rnacentral:rRNA from 1 species
AUUGAACGCUGGCGGCAUGCCUUACACAUGCAAGUCGAACGGUAACAGGUCUUCGGAUGCUGACGAGUGGCGAACGGGUGAGUAAUACAUCGGAACGUGCCCGAUCGUGGGGGAUAACGAAGCGAAAGCUUUGCUAAUACCGCAUACGAUCUACGGAUGAAAGCAGGGGACCGCAAGGCCUUGCGCGAACGGAGCGGCCGAUGGCAGAUUAGGUAGUUGGUGGGAUAAAAGCUUACCAAGCCGACGAUCUGUAGCUGGUCUGUGAGGACGACCAGCCACACUGGGACUGGGACACGGCCCAGACUCCUACGGGAGGCAGCAGUGGGGAAUUUUGGACAAUGGGCGAAAGCCUGAUCCAGCCAUGCCGCGUGCAGGAUGAAGGCCUUCGGGUUGUAAACUGCUUUUGUACGGAACGAAAAGACUCUGGUUAAUACCUGGGGUCCAUGACGGUACCGUAAGAAUAAGCACCGGCUAACUACGUGCCAGCAGCCGCAGUAACAC